CAAAGGAAGAGAUUAAUUGCACCAAGCAUCCCUUACUCAGAAUAGUUCCUGUGUUUCUAAUCACAUGGCAGCUGUUUGCGUGGUAAUAGUCUGCUCCGAGUUUUAUAGAAGCUGCGUUUCUUAAUUGAGUGCUUUGAAGAGUCUUAAGACCAUGCAGAAAGCAGAGUAGGGGCCCCCUCUCUGGCAGGGUUAGCUUGUAACACAGUUUGAAAUAUUUUUCAGGGAUGGUCACAGCCUUCCCUGUUAGUGUCCACAUUUCUUGGGAAGCAGUGGCCCAGACACAGGGCUCCUGCAAGCCUGGGCAUAAAACCUCACUUACGGAGGAAGCCUCGUUGGACCAGUGUGGGCCUGAGCUCUUCAUCACAGCUAGGGUCCUUCUCUAGCUUGUAGCAACAGAAACUGGCCCAGGGCUUUGCUUUUCUUCUGACCAGGUGGAACCUGAAUACGACACCCAUUUUUGAUUUUGCAAAAGGCAAGUCUUCCAGCUUCUGGGACAGACGCGUCUGACACCAGGGGAAAACUACAGUUGCGUGGUCCCUUACUCCAUCUGCCGGCUCUGCAUCCUUACCCUGUGCCCACCUCCUGGCUCUGGCUGGCUGUUGGCACCCCGCACCCGCGGGUUCCCUAUUGCAGCACCGGGAAGGCCUUUCGGGGUGAGAAGACACACAGAAGAGGAAAAGGCAAUAUGAAGACAGAGCACAGACUGGAGCUCUGCGGCCACAAGCCAAGGAAUGCCAAGGAUUGCUGGUAGCUGUCAGAGGCUGCAAGAGGCAAGGAAGGAUUCUUCCAAGAGCCUUCAAAGGGAACAUGGCCCUGAGGACACCUUGACGUUGGACUUCUAGCCUCAAAAACUGUAGAAAACAAACUUCUGUUGUUUUUAAGCACCAAGUUUGUGGUAAUUUGUUGUGGCAGCCCCAGGAAACUAGUACAUGUGGCUUAGUGGCCAACCCCAUAUUGAUAUAGAGUCUCUCUGGCCCUGAGAGCCCCAGACCUGUUUACCUGAGUGCCUACCUGACAUUUCUGGAUGUUUUAAAGUCACUUGAAAUCUAUAAUGUCCAAAACUCCUCCCUGUCCCCAAGUUUGCUCCUAUUCCAGUUUCCCCUAGGACACUAAAUGACACCAUCAUCCAUUCAGUUGAAACAUCAGAAGCUUAGGAGUCAGUCUUGACAGAUCUCUGUGCUACAUCUUGAAUGUCCAAUGAGCAAGUCCUAUUGGUUUCACUGUUAAAAUAUUUCUCAAAUAUUUACUUCCCCAUCAUUUCCACCAUCAUCACCUUUGUCCCUGCUCUGAUCAUCUCUCAUCUGAACUAUUGCAACUCUCUCUUAGGUCAUCCCCCCCACCCCAUAAGGAUGGGUCCUGGCUGUCCCCAGUCUCUCUUCUACCCUGAAGCCAUUGUACUAUUUUCAAAAUGCAGCUUUGAUUAUGUUAGCCCCUACUUAGAAUCCUCCAGGGAUUCUCACUGUGCUUAUGAUAAAUACAAAAUGAGCAUGGAAGAAGCGGGGCAAGGUUGAGCCCCAGCCUGCACCAGACUUGUCUUUGAGGGCUCCUCUUCAGUCAGCCUGGCCUGUUCUAUGUUUGCUCCUGCCCCAGAACCCUUGCACUUGCUGAUCUCCUUGAUAAGAAUGUUCUUUCCUUCCUUGUCUAGAUUACUCUGACAUAUGCUUCUGAUUCCAGUGGUUUUUCCUCAGGGGAGUUAUCCUUGAUAUUCCAAACCAGGAAGAAGUCCUUUAACUUUCAGACUUUCAUAGCGUUCUGUAUCUCUCCUCGUAGCUCUUAUCCAUGUUGCAAUUUUACAGUUUUGUUAUUAUUUUAUUAAUGGAUGUCCUCCCUUACUAGACUAUAUGCUCCACUGAGAACAGGAGAAUCAUGUCCCAAAGCCUACACCAUACAUAAUAGG
ensembl:lncRNA